UCCGGUGGCCAUAGCGCCGGGGCCACACCCGAUCCCAUCCCGAACUCGGUAGUUAAGCCCGGCAACGCCGAUGAUACUACGUGGGCGACUGCGUGGGAAAGUAGGACGCCGCCGGAU
rfam:Desulfobacca sp. RBG_16_58_9 RBG_16_scaffold_6453_curated, whole genome shotgun sequence.